GUGGAUUAGAUACCCUGGUAGUCCACGCCGUAAACGUUGGGCGCUAGGUGUGGGGGACUUUCCACGUCCUCUGUGCCGCAGCUAACGCAUUAAGCGCCCCGCCUGGGGAGUACGGCCGCAAGGCUAAAACUCAAAGGAAUUGACGGGGGCCCGCACAAGCGGCGGAGCAUGUGGCUUAAUUCGACGCAACGCGAAGAACCUUACCAAGGCUUGACAUACAGGGAAAUCCGGCAGAGAUGUCGGGUCCGCAAGGGUCCUGUACAGGUGGUGCAUGGCCGUCGACAACU
rnacentral:rRNA from 1 species